GAUGAACGCUGGCGGCGUGCCUAAUACAUGCAAGUCGAGCGAACUUUUGGGAUCUUGCUCCCAAAAGUUAGCGGCGGACGGGUAAGUAACACUUGGGUACCCUGCCUGUCAGAGUGGGAUAACUUCGUGAAACCGGAGGUAAUAGCGGAUAACAUUGAAGACCACAUGGUCUUCAAUUAAAAGUUUGCUUUUAGCUACCACUUACAGUUUGCCCCGGGGCGCAUUAGCUAUUUGUUUGUGUACCGGCUCACCAACGCUACGAUGCGUAGCCGACCUGAACGGGGGAUGGGCAACACUGGUACUGGGACACGUCCCAGACUCCUACGGGAGGCAGAAGUAGGGAAUCUUCCGCAAUGGCCGCAAGUCUGACGGUGCAACGCCGCGUGAGCGAAGGAGGCCUUCGGGUCGUAAAGCUCUGUUGUUAGGGAGGAACGAGUAUCGUUCGAAUAGGGCGGUACCUUGACGGUACCUAAACAGAAAGCCACGGCUAACUACGUG
rnacentral:rRNA from 1 species